rnacentral:rRNA from 1 species
CCCUUAGAUGUUCUGGGCCGCACGCGCGCUACACUGUUCGACGCAGCGAGUCUUAACCUUGACCGAAAGGUUUGGGUAAUCUUCAGCAAAGUUGAACGUGAUGGGGAUCGAUCAUUGCAAUUAUUGAUCGUGAACGAGGAAUUCCUAGUAAGUGCAAGUCAUCAGCUUGCGCUGAUUACGUCCCUGCCCUUUGUACACACCGCCCGUCGCUACUACCGAUUGAAUGGUUUAGUGAGAUCUCUGGAUUGACGCUGGCUAGGGGGCGACCCUUGGCCAGACUGUUGAGAAACUGCUCAAACUUGAUCAUUUAGAGGAAGUAAAAGUCGUAACA